CCCUGGUGGGAAACUACUCAGUCAACCCUAUCUGCUACAAACACCAGCAUUGCUCUUGGCUAGAGUAGAUAGGAGGUAAUGAAUCUCCUGGGCCUCUAGGAAGUGGUAGCUGUGGGAUGGAGAAAGCUGCAUGACGGAACUUGACCCCUUCUUCCCAGUCACGCUUGCAUGACUCGUUUGGGCUUCACCAUGAAUUGCAAAAAUUUCCCAAAAGACAUUGUUCUAGAUGGUGGAAAUCAAACUGCAAGGUCUUGACAUUUGCUAUAGUUCAGCAGAGAGGGAACAUUCUGUACAUGUUCACUGAAAGUUUCUAGUGUUACUCCCAUACAAAUGAAAAGUCUAUAUUAGCAGUUAAACUCCUUUUAAAAUCAGUUGAAGUGGAACCAGGAAGAACUACUGUCAGCAACUAACUGUUGCCCUAGCGUAUGUAGGAAAGGACUAAAAAAGCAGUUUAGAAAAAGGAGGAGAGUUCCAUCUUCCAGAGGUUGAUUCUACCAUUCUAAGACUGAUUUUGACUCCCAACCUUGCCAACACUUGACUAAUCCAUAAGAAAGUUGGCAUGCAGUAUCAUCUAUCAGGCUUGGAAUCCCAGUUAACAAAAUUUUGUGCCUGGUAAUAUCUAAAUCAGAAGACAGAACUCAAGGACCAAAAAAAAGUUAUGAUUAAUGAGAAAAAUCAGCACCAAGAAAUAAAACUUAAGAAAUAUCUGGAGGAAAAACAUUGCAAGACAUAACCAGGCAUUUGGAGAAAGAAAAGUUGCAAUAUAAUGUUAACUCAAAUGGAGUGGGGGAUGGACAUACAUGGCUUUUGAAAUAGGAGUUACCAAUCUUCGAUUCAGAUAUCUACAGUAGAACAUCAGAGUUAUGAACUGACUGGUCAACCAUACACCUCAUUUGGAACCGGAAGUAUGCAAUCAGGCAUCAGGAGAGAGAGACACACAAAAAGAAAACAGUACAGUACUGUGUUAAACAAACUAAA